GACGUAGGGGGCCAGCGUUGCUCGGAAUUACUGGGCGUAAAGGGUUCGUAGGCGGUGCGGCAAGUCGGAAGUGAAAUCUCUGGGCUUAACCCAGAGGCUGCUCCCGAAACUGCCGUGCUUGAGUGUGGGAGAGGCCAGUGGAAUUGCAGGUGUAGCGGUGAAAUGCGUAGAUAUCUGCAGGAACACCCGUGGCGAAGGCGGCAUCCUGGACCAAUUCUGACGCUGAGGAGCGAAAGCCAGGGGAGCAAACGGG
rnacentral:rRNA from 1 species